CCGCUCCUACGCCUUCGCCUACUACAUGUUCGGCGACGAGGUGCGCACCUACCCGUCGGAGAAGGCCAACCUGCCCAUCGCCAAGGUCCUGUUCGAGGACCAGCAGUGGCAGCUGGAGGAGAACGCCGAGAAGCUCUCCAAGGUGCUCGCCGCCGAGGCCAAGCCCGUCCUCGCCGAGGAGGAGGUCCUCCAGGCCAUGCAGGAGACCUCCAACCUCGCCAAGAUCGUCGACACGCACUGCAGGGAGAUGUACAAGUGCAUCCAGGACGAGCUGCUGCCGCUGCUCCUCGAGCCCAUGACCAUCGCCCCCUACCGCCCUGAUGGACCCGACAAGGCCAAGGAUCUGCCGGCCUGAUGUGUUGCUUGGCGUGCAUCGAGCACGCCUCCCUAUAUGCAUGCAGAGCUGCUGGUUACCUACGGAACUCGAUCGGCAACAGCAAAUUAGGUCAGCGCGUGACAAUAAAACUCCCUAAUUAGCUUAAGAUAUAACUCAUCAUUAUAUGUUGUUGAAAGUGGUACUCCUAGUUUGAAUAGAUGAAUGAAAUUGGAUGGAUGGAUGUUGGUGGAACUCUUAGAUUGAAGACUAGCAGACAAAAGGCGCGGCGACACGCCGCCUGUCGUCACGCUCGAGUUUAAGCCUGUCAUUUAGCAAAUGUGUGCCGUAAUUUGUUGUUGCUUGUGUUUGAUACUAAUAGUUUAACGUGUUUUAGUAAGUGAAAAUAAUAUACUGAAGAAUAUGGACCACUUAGUCAAUUACAUGACUUAGGCUUACAUGAUGAAUGAAGGCGGGCACCGAUUUAAGAGAGUACACUAUGUAGCUGGUAUCAAGAAGGAAAUGUCAAUCAAUAGUUCUGGGAUGAUGAAAACAAAAAGUAGUGAUGCUAAACAGGGGUUUUCUAGUUAUCAGUGGUUAUUGGUGGAUUGGUGGCGAUGAAUUGAGGGAAGUAUUUUCUCGAGAUUGUUUCUUUUUCAAGAUUGAUUGAGGGAAGGAUUCAUUGGUAGUGUGUAUAGGGUUUGCGGAGUGUGUUGGUGUGGUUGAGCUCAUGGGUAGGUCCGUCAGUGGGGGUGUGCUUUUGUGUUGCAUUUUCUUUCAAGGGAUGAUUCUGUAGUGAGUUUUUUGUGCUGAUGUGAGGAAAUUCUAUAACUCAUACGGAGUAUGUGUGAGCUCAAUGACAAAAGAAUGUGUCUGAUGUUGGAUAAGAACGGCAAUAGCUAUGUUCUGAAUUUAGAAUUUGGAGUAGAGCGACAUAGGUGCAUCAUACCUCCAAUGCAAAGACGCAGCCUAGGUAAAUACCUCCACUCUUCCAAGGAUUUCAUCAUAUCUCCAAUGUCCUCCCAAAAAUCUUUUGCGACAGUUGAAAAGAUACCUUGCUUAUUUCAAUGUUCAAGCUCGUUAACUGCCGAAUCAAUGGCAUGCAAGAAUUUGUCUCUCUUGACUAAAGCAUUGACAACAAAACGAAAAAUAUUUCCUUUUAUACAAUAUGUAAUCCAACUUCAAGCAUGUCUAAAUACGCUCUUAAUACCAACUCUAAUUUUCUCCCUCUGACCACUUCUGAAGUAUUUGAUGGCAUGAGGCCGAAGGAAUCAAACAUGUAGACCUUGCACAACUAAAAGAAAAAAUAGCAACUAGUUUGUUGACCUGGCCAGCUUGUAAAUACAUCUGAAUAAUCAGACUUGACCAGUCCAUUGGCGUCGGUCAUAGCCUUAUCAUCAUCUAGUAGGCAGGGUGGAUCCGGCUUGCCUGCUCCCUCCCCGUUCUUCCAUCUGUGUUCCCACUUCAUCCUACGGUUAUCUUUUUUUCUUUCUCCUUUCUAAUCAAACCAUCCCCCUCCCUCCUCCUGAUUUUAAAGGGAUGGGGCCGGGCCUUAUUUUGUUCCAAUCAAAUCAAGCCAUGUAUGCGGGAGCACGGAUGGGCGCACGCGCGGGGAGCAGGCAAGUCUCGUCCCCGGCGCCCUGCACUGUUUCCUUUUCUCGUUUUUUGUUGCACCUGUACUCUGUACUCUCCUUCUUCAUCAAUGAAAAUCAGCACCCUGCUGCUUUUUCAUCAAAAAAAGAGCAUCUAGUAAGAGAAGGAAUGAUUCCUAAUAAGGGCAUCUCCACAAUUUUCUUCCUAAUAAAUGCUUGAUCGAUCAAUUAACCAAAAUGCUUGACCAAAUCCACCUACAAAGAAAGCUUGAUCAAAUCGGCUGGGAGAAAUUUGCAGUCACUGAACUGAACAAAAAACAAAAACCAGUCAACUCUGACUGUAAUCAAUCCCUUAAGUUAAAUAUAAUGGAACGUACGUACAUUGCUUACAAGUAAGCGCAAAACAACGGACAUGGAGUUUCUUAGUUCGGGCUCGAAUGAGCCCGGAGGAAUAGUAAAAUCAAAAAGAUAUGUAAAAAGCUAAUCAAGGAUUUGCCGGCCCGAUGGAUCGCUUGGCGUGCAUUGAGCACGCCUCCCUAUACUGCUGGUUACCUACGGAUCGGCAACAACAAAUUGAGCCAGCAUGUGAUAAUAAAACCUCCUAAUUAGCUUAAGAUAUAAUUCAUCAUUAUAUGUUGGGUUAGCCUAGUUCAGGGUUUUUCUUGUUGAUUUUUUGUUCACUUAUUUUGCUACAACUUUUAUGUUGGUUUUUUAUGUUUUUCUUAAUUUUCUUUUGUUUGUUUUUUCGAUACACCGCCAAUGAUUCUUUAACAUACGAUGAACAAUGUUUGAAUACACACUAUUUUUCUAUAAUAUAUUCAUUGAAUCAUUUUAAUAUAUGAUGAACUUUUAGCACCUACUAGCAAAAAGGCCUGUGCGUUACAACGGGAGAAAAAAAAUUCACUCAUAUCUCUAGUUGGGUUAGUUGGACAAAUUGUGCGUGGCCGGUUGUCAGGUUAUGAGAUCGAACCCUUCCAUCGGCAAUUUUAUUUUUCUCUGGACCUGAGCCACAAUGCGCCGCCAGAUGGGCUUCCUCCGUUGUGCCAAAACGGGUGGUAAGUAAUGAAACCAAAUAGCGUACAUGAAAUUAAUUGAAGCGGGACCAAACGAAGCGGGACGAAAUCAAAAAUAUCAUCUCCAUUUAAUAAUAGGUAUAAAUAUAGAUAUAGAUAUAGAUUGGACGACUACAGGUUUCUCAAAAAUAAAAAAGAUUGACGCUGACGGGGUGCGUCCAAAGGGGGAGCAACUAAUUGAGGGCUGCUGUUGGGGAGUCUUCCAAAGAUCAUUCACUGGUCUUUCUUUGCUUUUCGACAGAAAAAAUCAGAAUUUUUUGUGUUUUUUCUUUCUUUCGCAAAAGACACGGGUUUGCUUCUGUGAGAUACACGUGCUGCUGGAGUCGGCCACCGCCAUCCGGCCGCUCAUCAGGGAGGCCAGCUGGAUGGCCCACGCGCACCGGGCCCUGCUGGCGUCGCGCCUCGUGCUCGCCCGCUCCUACGCCUUCGCCUACUACAUGUUCGGCGACGAGGUGCGCACCUACCCGUCGGAGAAGGCCAACCUGCCCAUCGCCAAGGUCCUGUUCGAGGACCAGCAGUGGCAGCUGGAGGAGAACGCCGAGAAGCUGUCCAAGGUGCUCGCCACCGAGGCCAAGCCUGUGCUGGCCGAGGAGGAGGUCCUCCGGGCCAUGCAGGAGACCUCCAACCUCGCCAAGAUCGUCGACACGCACUGCAGGGAGAUAUACAAGUGCAUCCAGGACGAGCUGCUGCCGCUGCUCCUGGAGCCCAUGACCAUCG
rnacentral:lncRNA from 1 species